rnacentral:rRNA from 1 species
AUUGAACGCUGGCGGCAGGCCUAACACAUGCAAGUCGAACGAGUGGCGGACGGGUGAGUAAUGUUUGGGAAACUGCCUGAUGGAGGGGGAUAACUACUGGAAACUGUAGCUAAUACCGCAUACCAUCGGAUGUGCCCAGAUGGGAUUAGCUUGUUGGUGGGGUAAAGGCUCACCAAGGCGACGAUCCGUAGCUGGUCUGAGAGGACGACCAGCCACACUGGGACUGAGACACGGCCCAGACUCCUACGGGAGGCAGCAGUGGGGAAUAUUGGGCAAUGGGGGAAACCCUGAUCCAGCCAUCCCGCGUGUAUGAUGAAGGCCUUCGGGUUGUAAAGUACUUUUGGUAGAGAAGCGGUAUCUACAGAAUAAGCACCGGCUAACUACGUGCCAGCAGCCGCGGUAAUUC